rnacentral:rRNA from 1 species
GAUCAUGGCUCAGGAUGAACGCUAGCUACAGGCUUAACACAUGCAAGUCGAGGGGCAGCGGGAUUGAAGCUUGCUUCAAUUGCCGGCGACCGGCGCACGGGUGAGUAACGCGUAUCCAACCUUCCGUACACUCAGGGAUAGCCUUUCGAAAGAAAGAUUAAUACCUGAUGGUACCUUAAGCACACAUGUAAUUAAGAUUAAAGAUUUAUCGGUGUACGAUGGGGAUGCGUUCCAUUAGGUAGUAGGG